AUUUUUGUGGACUGAAGCAUGCCAAGCAUCGUCAAGACAGAAAAAGAGGAAGCGAAACAGAAGGGAGAGGAGAGCGAAGGAAUGCAUGCUUUCUAUUUUUACAGUAGGAAGAGAAAGACAAGUUUACACAAAAGAACAGAAAGGGGAAGUAACUGACAGAGCUCAUUGCACCUUGACUGUCCUGCAGCCUCCAGACACUAUGUAGAACUGGCAUUGAGAUGGGACAGUUCUAGGCAAUCACUUUAAAACAAAUAUAUUUCAUACCAUAUGAAGAAAGCAGAACAAUGUAGGCCCUGCAUCUCUUCUGCACGCAAAUUCCUGUGAAUCAAAGCCUUGACUGAUGUUCUUUGUGGAGAUUAGCCUUCAACAAUCCAAGUAA